rnacentral:rRNA from 1 species
AGCUCCAAUAGCGUAUAUUAAAGUUGUUGCGGUUGAAAAGUUCGUAGUUGGAUAUUUGUUGAAGACGGUGAGGGUCCACCCUUUGGGUGCGAAUUCUGGCUGUCGUCGGCACUGGCGUUGGGUGCCGUUCUGCAGUUGAUUCUGUGGGGCGGGGCUCGCGGCCUUUUACUUUGAGGAAAUUAGAGCGCUUCGAGCCAGCAUCUGCUAAUAUACAGUAGCAUGGAAUAAUACGCGAGAAUCUUGAAUUUGUUUUGUUGGUUUCAGGUACAGGAUUUUGGUUGAUAGGGAUAGCUGGGGGCAUUCGUAUUUGAUUGUUAGAGGUGAAAUUCUUGGAUUUGUCAAAGACGCCCUACUGCGAAAGCAUUUGCCAAAUAUGUUU